UACGUAGGUGGCAAGCGUUGUCCGGAAUUAUUGGGCGUAAAGAGCGUGUAGGCGGUCCGGUAAGUCCGCUGUGAAAGUCGGGGGCUCAACCCUCGAAUGCCGGUGGAUACUGUCGGGCUAGAGUGCGGAAGAGGCGAGUGGAAUUCCUGGUGUAGCGGUGAAAUGCGCAGAUAUCAGGAGGAACACCUAUUGCGAAGGCAGCUCGCUGGGACGGUAUUGACGCUGAGACGCGAAAGCGUGGGGAGCAAACAGG
rnacentral:rRNA from 1 species